GACGAACGCUGGCGGCGUGCUUAACACGUGCAAGUCGAACGGAAAGGCCCUGCUUUUGUGGGGUGCUCGAGUGGCGAACGGGUGAGUAACACGUGAGUAACCUGCACUUGACUGUGGGAUAACUUCAGGAAACUGGGGCUAAUACCGGAUAGGAGCUCCUGCUGCAUGGUGGGGGUUGGAGAGUUUCGGCGGUGGGGGAUGGACUAGCGGCUUAUCAGCUGGUUGGUGGGGUAGUGGAUUACCAAGGCUUUGACGGGUAGCCGGCAUUGGAGGGUGGCCGGCCACCUUGGGCCUGCGAGACGGCCCAGUCGCCUACGUGAGGCAGCGGUGGGGAAUAUUGCACAAUGGGCGGACGCCUGAUGCAGCAACGCCGCGUGCGGGAUGCCGGCCUUCGGGUUGUAAACCGCUUUCGCCUGUGACGAAGCGUGCGUGACGGUAAUGGGUAAAGAAGCACCGGCUAACUACGUG
rnacentral:rRNA from 1 species